rnacentral:rRNA from 1 species
UCAUUCCUACGGGGCGCAGCAGUGGGGAAUAUUGGACAAUGGGGGGAACCCUGAUCCAGCGACGCCGCGUGAGUGAAGAAGUAUUUCGGUAUGUAAAGCUCUAUCAGCAGGGAAGAAAGAAAUGACGGUACCUGACUAAGAAGCCCCGGCUAACUACGUGCCAGCAGCCGCGGUAAUACGUAGGGGGCAAGCGUUAUCCGGAUUUACUGGGUGUAAAGGGAGCGUAGACGGUUACGCAAGUCUGGAGUGAGAGGCGGG